rnacentral:rRNA from 1 species
CCUACGGGUGGCUGCAGUGGGGAAUAUUGGACAAUGGGGGGAACCCUGAUCCAGCCAUGCCGCGUGUGUGAAGAAGGCCCUCGGGUUGUAAAGCACUUUCAGUGAGGAAGAACGCCUGGUGGUUAAUACCCAUCAGGAAAGACAUCACUCACAGAAGAAGCACCGUCUAACUCCGUGCCAGCAGCCGCGGUAAUACGGAGGGUGCGAGCGUUAAUCGGAAUUACUGGGCGUAAAGCGCGCGUAGGUGGCUUGAUAAGCCGGUUGUGAAAGCCCCGGGCUCAACCUGGGAACGGCAUCCGGAACUGUCAAGCUAGAGUGCAGGAGAGGAAGGUAGAAUUCCCGGUGUAGCGGUGAAAUGCGUAGAGAUCGGGAGGAAUACCAGUGGCGAAGGCGGCCUUCUGGACUGACACUGACACUGAGGUGCGAAAGCGUGGGUAGCAAACAGGAUUAGAUACCCCUGUAGUC